AUUUCUCAACCUUUCCUUUCUUGAACAACCAGCAGCGCCCAACUCUCUCUCUCUCUCUCCCCUUCUCUUUCCAAAAUUGUUGGCUUUCAUUGCUCUGCAAAUUUCCUUGUAGGACCAAAACUUCAGAUCUGAAACCACCCCAACGAAGGGGUAGGAAGAAUUGGAGAAAAUGAUGAGGGAGAAGAUCAAGAUCAGGAAGAUUGACUACUUGCCGGCAAGGCAGGUGACCUUCUCAAAAGAGGAGAAUAGGGGAUUUUGAAGAAAGCUGGAGAGUUGUCGAUGAGAACCCAUGACAUCGCCUAGCAGAUGAAGGCGGUGCAUAAGGAGAUGCCCACCACCGUCAGGCUGUCCGAGUACUUGAGGAAGGAUGCCGAGCCUAGAGAACGAGAGAGAUCACUGAGAGAAUGAGAGAGAUCUAGGAUUGAAAUUUUCUGGUUCAGGUUGUGCGAGAGGCAAUCUGAAAGUGUAAGGAAAGGAGGGCAAUUUUGGGGUUAUUGAAAAAUUCAUUAAAGAUUUACUGUUCACCCUUGUUUUUGGAAGAUUUGCAGCUUUAGGUUUUGAGCUUAUUUUCAUCCACAACUUUGAAAUAAAGUUGAUUUUGAUAGUUUACCAAACAGCAAGAACCCUUUCUACUUUUUUUUA